rnacentral:lncRNA from 1 species
GUGAGAGGUCACUUGGUCAGGCCAACAGGAAGUAUUAUGAAAGAGAUGCUUUUACAUUGAUAUACAGAUAGAGAUGUAGUUAGUCCCAGAGUUAAUGAUCCAAGGUCAGUUUAUAUUAUACAGGAAGUAUUGUGAAAGAGAUGCUUUUACAUUGAAAUACAGAUAGAGAUGUAGUUAGUCCCAGAGUUAAUGAUCCAAGGUCAGUUUAUAUUAUACAGGAAGUAUUAUUAAAGAGAUGCUUUUACAUUGAAAUACAGAUAGAGAUGUAGUUAGUCCCAGAGUUAAUGAUCCAAGGUCAGUUUAUAUUAUACAGGAAGUAUUAUUAAAGAGAUGCUUUACAUUGAUAUACAGAUAGAGAUUUAGUUAGUCCCAGAGUUAAUGAUCCAAGGUCAGUUUAUAUUAUACAGGAAGUAUUAUUAAAGAGAUGCUUUACAUUGAUAUACAGAUAGAGAUGUAGUUAGUCCCAGAGUUAAUGAUCCAAGGUCAGUUUUGUAUUUCACCUCCUGAUGAUUAUGAUGACUGACCGUGUUAGAAUAAAAUAUAUUUUAAAAAACAAGGGUGAAACAUGCUAAUUCCAUCUUGUCUCUCGUCUGCAGGUAUGAUUUGAUGUGAGGAUGCCAACCCCCAGUCCUGUCAUCGCCACCUCACCUGCUUGAAGAUAACCUUCGGUCUGACGAGAGACACUAUUAUGUAAUUGUGAUGAACUGAGAGAAUAUUUAGGUAGCACUGUGAUUCAUUAAUCAUUUGCUGCCUUCCCUGCUCCUAUGUUCUUACCUCUUUCCCUUUCUGUCUUUUACACCUCUCUCACCACCUCCUCUUUCUUCCUCUGUUUUUAUAAUGCACAAUAUAGAUGUGCAUUGAAGUAAAGAUAAAACUUACAUUUAUAAUAUAAUAUUCCAAUUAUAAUAUUUAUAAUGCAUGUAUUUAUAACACUUGGAUAAUGAAAUUCUUUCAAUAAAGCAUUUCAAAUUCUCUACUGGUUGAAAUUAAGUCUCAUUUGAUGAAAUACCACACCUAUCCUGUGUUUAUCAGAUCCAUGCAGAUGAAGGAAAUUAGAUAUUGAGAUGACCUGUUGUUAGAGUAUUUACAUGAUGCAUAAGAAGUGUAGUGUGCUGAUUUUUUAAUUAUAUUUCUGUAUAUAUGAAUUACAAAUCGGCCUUUAACUAGUUAAAUCAUGUGUAACCAUUGAUAUCCCAGGACCAAGAUUGGUAAACACUGUUGAAGUGUAUAAUUGUAAUACAUACAUGCAUUGAAGACACGGCAUCAUUCAAAGACUGGAAUUUGAUACUCCUGGUAUUGGAUAUGACUGAAAAAUGAUCUCAAAGACAUUCAUACCUGAACUGCACCUUUAUUUGCCAAGGUAGAGUACAUGAUCAGUGAAUAUUUAUUAUUAUUAUAUAUAUUUUAAAUUUUUCACCCCUUUUUUCUCCCCAAUUUUGUGGUAUCUAAUUGGUAGUUACAGUCUUGUCUCAUCGCUGCAACUCCCGUACGGACUCGGGAGAGGCGAAGGUCGAGAGCCGUGCGUCCUCCGAAACACAAUCCAACCAAGCCGCACUGCUUCUUGACACAACGCCCAUCCAAACCGGAAGCCAUCCGCACCAAUGUGUCGGAGGAAACACCGUACACCUGGCGACAUGUGUCAGCGUGCACUGCGCCUGGCCCGUCACAGAAGUUACUAGUGCGCGAUGAGACAAGGAUAUCCCUGCCGGCCAAACCCUCCCUAACCUGGACGACGCUGGGCCAAUUGCGCACCGCCCCAUGGGCCUCCCAGUCGCGGCCGGCUGCGACAGAGCCUAGACUCGAACCCAGAAUCUCUUAGACCACUGCGCCACUCGGGAGGCCCAUGAUCAGUGAAUAUAUUAAAUGUACAGGCUACAAUGUGGGGAUCUCAUGCAUGGUAAUAACUACAUGUAUAUACGACUUGCAUCCUUGGCACAAAGUGAAAUUAUAUUGUACUCAAUCCAUAGGCUUCAUUAGUGUCAUUCAGGCUGUUUUGAAGUUGAUACAACUGGCUAUGAUAGCUGAGGUUCAUAGCUACGUGGGUGCUGAACUAAUAUGUAUACCAAACGUUUUAAGGUCCAUACACAGAUCGGCUACAUAGCGAGCUACACAUCCAGGUACCUUUAUCCUCCACUGCACAAUAAGCAAGAAAAUAGUUAGCUAGCUAUGUUAUUUCAUCUAUCUGCAUUGCAUGGCAAAAAUCAGCAAGGCAAGCUUACAAAAUUGUACACUCAAUUUGCAGUAAAUGCUUCAGCUAGAUAGAUUCUUUACAUCCACUGUUUCACAAGAUGACUGCCUGGU